GGGGGAAAAAUUAAUAAUAAAUUAUAAAAAAAAAAUUUUUAAAAAUAUAUUUUAAUGGGGGUUAGAGUAUAUAUAUAGAAAAAAUUUGAAAAUUUAUAGUAAAAUAGUAUUAUAAAAGAAUUUAGAAAUAUGGGAAAAUAAUUUAGUAAAAAGUAAAUUUAAUUUAUUGUAUCUUGUGUAUCAGAGUUUAUUAAUAAUAAUUAUUAGAUAAUAAUUUCUCGAAUUUAAAAGAGUUAAUUAAUUAUAAAAGUUAAUGUGGAAUAAUUAUUUUUAAUAAUUAAUUAGAAAUGAAAUGUUAAUCGUUUUUAAAUAUAUCUAGUUUUUUUAGAAAAAAAUUUAAUUUUAAAUAUUAUAUUUAAAAUUUUUAUUUUAAAAAAUUUUAUUUAAUAAUAUUAAAUAUUUUAAGGGAUAAGCUUUAAAAUAAAUUUUUAUAAUAAUUAAUUUAAUUAAAUUAAAAUUAUAAAAUUUAAAUUGUUUUAUAAAUUAUAGAUUUUUAUAAAUAAUUUAAUUUGAAUUAAAAUUUAAAAAUAAAUUUAAAUUUUUAUAAAAAAUUAUAUUUUAAUGAAAUCAAAUUAGUUAUAAUGAUAAAAUUAGUAUAUAAUUUAAAUAAAAGAAAAAAUUUAUUAGAAGUUAAUUAAAGGAAUUCGGCAAAAUUUUAUAUUCACUUGUUUAUCAAAAACAUGUCUUUUUGAAAUAAUUUAAAGUCUAAUCUGCCCACUGAUAAAUUAUUAAAGGGCUGCAGUAUUUUGACUGUACAAAGGUAGCAUAAUCAAUAGUCUCUUAAUUGGUGACUUGUAUGAAAGAUUGGAUGAGAUAUAAACUGUCUCUAAUUAAUUUAUAGAAAUUAAUUUUUUAGUUAAAAAGCUAAAAUAAUUUUAAAAGACGAGAAGACCCUAUAGAGUUUAAUAAUUUAUUUAAUUAUUAUUAUUAUAUAAUUUUUAAAAUUAAAAUUGAAUAAAUUAUUUUGUUGGGGUGAUAAAAAAAUUAAAUUAACUUUUUUUAUUUUUUUACAUUAAUUUAUGAAUAAAUGAUCCAAUAAUAGUGAUAAUAAGAAAAAAUUACCUUAGGGAUAACAGCGUAAUUUUUUUUUUUAGUUCAAAUAGGAAAAAAAGUUUGCGACCUCGAUGUUGGAUUAAGAUAAAAUUUAAAUGCAAAAGUUUAAAAUUUUUGAUCUGUUCGAUCAUUAAAAUCUUACAUGAUCUGAGUUCAAACCGGUGUGAGCCAGGUUGGUUUCUAUCUUUAAAUAAAUUUAAUAUUUUAGUACGAAAGGAUCAAAUAUUAGAAAUAAUUUUAAUAAGAUGAAUUUUAUUAAUAGUUAAUAAUA
rnacentral:rRNA from 1 species